GCCGGUAUAGCUCAAUUGGUAGAGCAGCGCAUUCGUAAUGCGAAGGUCGUAGGUUCAACUCCUGCUUCCGGCA
rnacentral:tRNA from 1 species